rnacentral:rRNA from 1 species
AGAGUUUGAUCCUGGCUCAGGACGAACGCUGGCGGCGUGCUUAACACAUGCAAGUCGAACGGAAAGGCCCCUUCGGGGGUGCUCGAGUGGCGAACGGGUGAGUAACACGUGGGUGAUCUGCCCUGCACUUUGGGAUAAGCCUGGGAAACUGGGUCUAAUACCGGAUAGGACCACGGUCUGCAUGGGCUGUGGUGGAAAGCUUUUGCGGUGUGGGAUGGGCCCGCGGCCUAUCAGCUUGUUGGUGGGGUGAUGGCCCACCAAGGCGACGACGGGUAGCCGGCCUGAGAGGGUGUCCGGCCACACUGGGACUGAGAUACGGCCCAGACUCCUACGGGAGGCAGCAGUGGGGAAUAUUGCACAAUGGGCGCAAGCCUGAUGCAGCGACGCCGCGUGAGGGAUGACGGCCUUCGGGUUGUAAACCUCUUUCAAUGCCGACGAAGCGCAAGUGACGGUAGGCGUAGAAGAAGCACCGGCUAACUACGUGCCAGCAGCCGCGGUA